CAGCCAUGGGGCACUCCCGGGUUGGCCCAGGGCUCUUGUGCCAGCAGCAAGUGGGGCCUGUCCCACCCACCAGCACUGCUAUAAACCCAGCGAGUUUGGGGCACAGCAGCAUUCCCUGGCCCCAGGGGCAUCUGGACACAGCCAUUGCUGUUGGGUUUGCUGCUGCCUGAACACCAAAGCCUUUGUCAGGGAGCCCUGUGAAGACCCGGGAGAGGCAGCAGCCAUGAAGAUCCUGUUCCUGCUCUUCCCCCUGAUCCUCCUGCUGGUCCAGGGUGCUGCAGGAAAUCCACUUUUAUGCAAGAGAAGAGGUGGAUACUGCACACUUGGAAUUUGCCGCCACGGUGCAACCCCUGUUGGAAGAUGUACACCAUACCGUGUGUGCUGCCUUGGAGGCUGGGUUUGAAACGCUGAAAUUCCCAAGCAGGACAUGCCCCUCGCUUCUGGCUGCUGGACCCAUGUGCUGAUGUCCCCAUGUGCUGAUGUCCCCUGCCGUGGCUGCCUGUGCCGUGCCCAGCUGGGCUGACAGCAGCAGUGGCAGCUGCUCCUGCUGGCUGCUGCUGGGCUGGAGCCCUGUGGUGCCAGCCCCGCUGUCUUUGGGGCAGGGGCUGCUUUUCCCGGCUUGAAUAAAGACGAGCACUUUGGCAUUGCA